rnacentral:rRNA from 1 species
ACGAACGCUGGCGGCGUGCUUAACACAUGCAAGUCGAGCGGUAAGGCCCUUUCGGGGGUACACGAGCGGCGAACGGGUGAGUAACACGUGGGUGACCUGCCCUCAGCUCUGGGAUAAGCCUGGGAAACUGGGUCUAAUACUGGAUAUGACUCCACGGUGCAUGUCGUGGGGUGGAAAGCCUUGUGCGGCUGAGGAUGGGCCCGCGGCCUAUCAGCUUGUUGGUGGGGUGAUGGCCUACCAAGGCGACGACGGGUAGCCGGCCUGAGAGGGCGACCGGCCACACUGGGACUGAGACACGGCCCAGACUCCUACGGGAGGCAGCAGUGGGGAAUCUUGCGCAAUGGCGAAAGCCUGACGCAGCGACGCCGCGUGAGGGAUGACGG